rnacentral:rRNA from 1 species
AGCGCAGACGGUUUAUUAAGUCUGAUGUGAAAGCCCGGAACUCAACUCCGGAAUGGCAUUGGAAACUGGUUAACUUGAGUGCAGUAGAGGUAAGUGGAACUCCAUGUGUAGCGGUGGAAUGCGUAGAUAUAUGGAAGAACACCAGUGGCGAAGGCGGCUUACUGGACUGCAACUGACGUUGAGGCUCGAAAGUGUGGUAGCAAACA